rnacentral:rRNA from 1 species
GCUGGCGGCGUGCCUAAUACAUGCAAGUAGAACGCUGAAGAGAGGAGCUUGCUCUUCUUGGAUGAGUUGCGAACGGGUGAGUAACGCGUAGGUAACCUGCCUUGUAGCGGGGGAUAACUAUUGGAAACGAUAGCUAAUACCGCAUAACAAUGGAUGACACAUGUCAUUUAUUUGAAAGGGGCAAAUGCUCCACUACAAGAUGGACCUGCGUUGUAUUAGCUAGUAGGUGAGGUAACGGCUCACCUAGGCGACGAUACAUAGCCGACCUGAGAGGGUGAUCGGCCACACUGGGACUGAGACACGGCCCAGACUCCUACGGGAGGCAGCAGUAGGGAAUCUUCGGCAAUGGGGGCAACCCUGACCGAGCAACGCCGCGUGAGUGAAGAAGGUUUUCGGAUCGUAAAGCUCUGUUGUAAGUCAAGAACGAGUGUGAGAGUGGAAAGUUCACACUGUGACGGUAGCUUACCAGAAAGGGACGGCUAACUACGUGCCAGCAGCCGCGGUAAUACGUAGGUCCCGAGCGUUGUCCGGAUUUAUUGGGCGUAAAGCGAGCGCAGGCGGUUUGAUAAGUCUGAAGUUAAAGGCUGUGGCUCAACCAUAGUUCGCUUUGGAAACUGUCAAACUUGAGUGCAGAAGGGGAGAGUGGAAUUCCAUGUGUAGCGGUGAAAUGCGUAGAUAUAUGGAGGAACACCGGUGGCGAAAGCGGCUCUCUGGUCUGUAACUGACGCUGAGGCUCGAAAGCGUGGGGAGCGAACAGGAUUAGAUACCCUGGUAGUCCACGCCGUAAACGAUGAGUGCUAGGUGUUGGAUCCUUUCCGGGAUUCAGUGCCGCAGCUAACGCAUUAAGCACUCCGCCUGGGGAGUACGACCGCAAGGUUGAAACUCAAAGGAAUUGACGGGGGCCCGCACAAGCGGUGGAGCAUGUGGUUUAAUUCGAAGCAACGCGAAGAACCUUACCAGGUCUUGACAUCCCGAUGCUAUUUCUAGAGAUAGAAAGUUACUUCGGUACAUCGGUGACAGGUGGUGCAUGGUUGUCGUCAGCUCGUGUCGUGAGAUGUUGGGUUAAGUCCCGCAACGAGCGCAACCCCUAUUGUUAGUUGCCAUCAUUCAGUUGGGCACUCUAGCGAGACUGCCGGUAAUAAACCGGAGGAAGGUGGGGAUGACGUCAAAUCAUCAUGCCCCUUAUGACCUGGGCUACACACGUGCUACAAUGGUUGGUACAACGAGUUGCGAGUCGGUGACGGCAAGCUAAUCUCUUAAAGCCAAUCUCAGUUCGGAUUGUAGGCUGCAACUCGCCUACAUGAAGUCGGAAUCGCUAGUAAUCGCGGAUCAGCACGCCGCGGUGAAUACGUUCCCGGGCCUUGUACACACCGCCCGUCACACCACGAGAGUUUGUAACACCCGAAGUCGGUGAGGUAACCUUUUGGAGCCAGCCGCCUAAGGUGGGAU